UACGGGGGGGGCAAGCGUUGUUCGGAAUUACUGGGCGUAAAGGGCUUGUAGGUGGCCAACUAAGUCAGACGUGAAAUCCCUCGGCUUAACCGGGGAACUGCGUCUGAUACUGGAUGGCUUGAGUGUGGGAGAGGGAUGCGGAAUUCCAGGUGUAGCGGUGAAAUGCGUAGAUAUCUGGAGGAACACCGGUGGCGAAGGCGGCAUCCUGGACCAACACUGACACUGAGGAGCGAAAGCCAGGGGAGCAAACGGG
rnacentral:rRNA from 1 species